GACUGCAAGAGAAACAAAAGUGGAGGCUCAGUAGCGACAUUUCACCCUGCUCUCGGGAAAAUAUGCAUAGACUCGCACACCCCAUUCCAGAGAGCUUUGCGUAAUAAUGCGCAGGAGAAGAAGCAGAAGAGUGAUGGAAUUGCAUCCGAAAAGAUUGAGCACGCUUACAUUCACUCGUGACCUUCAAGGAAGCUUCCUGCUGGGUGACAUUAUUGGUCAGGAUGUACUCAGCCUGGCAAGUGAUCCAAACAAUCCUCCUGAAAACUGCCUGAUGUUCUCCGUCAAUGAGAAGAAUAUGAUCCAGGGGCAAAUGUGGAGGGAUGGGGCGAUGGAGAAGAAUGACACCCUGCAACUCGUCCUGCAGCCCCUUGUUUGUGUGCAGAGGUCACGGCCUGUACAGGAUGUUGAAUGAAGGGAGAAGGCUAAUUACAAAGUAUGUAUGCCUGCCAGAAGACACCUCCUCCCAGCUGCUUGCUUACUGGAGAAGUUCUGGGAUGAGUCUCCUCCCUCAAUAUCAAGUUGCCUGAAAGGCUCACACACUCCAAUUAUAUUCAUGCAAUUGAUAUACAGUACAGUCUGAUCACAUUUGUUUUGCAGUUCAAUUUCUAAUGUGAUUAGAUUUACUGGGCUCUUGUUCAGAGUUACAGCUACUGCUUCUGGUAAUGACAAUAAAAAUUAUGUUA